rnacentral:rRNA from 1 species
AGCGAACGCUGGCGGCAGGCCUAACACAUGCAAGUCGAACGAACUCUUCGGAGUUAGUGGCGGACGGGUGAGUAACCCGUGGGAACGUUCCCUUUGGUUCGGAAUAACUCAGGGAAACUUGUGCUAAUACCGAACGUGACCUUCGGGGGGAAGAUUUAUCGCCAUUAGAGCGGCCCGCGUCUGAUUAGCUAGUUGGUGAGGUAACGGCUCACUAAGGCGACGAUCAGUAGCUGGUCUGAGAGGAUGACCAGCCACACUGGGACUGAGACACGGCCCAGACUCCUACGGGAGGCAGCAGUGGGGAAUCUUGCGCAAUGGGCGAAAGCCUGACGCAGCCAUGCCGCGUGAAUGAUGAAGGUCUUAGGAUUGUAAAAUUCUUUCACCGGGGACGAUAAUGACGGUACCCGGAGAAGAAGCCCCGGCUAACUUCGUG